rnacentral:piRNA from 1 species
UCUUAGAGGCUGUUCCCCACACUUGGA